CCACCUCGCUUUCUUCCCCCGCCCCGCCGCUCCUCCCAGCGCGUGAUUCAGCCUCUGCCUUCCAACCUUCACGAUCCUCUUCCCCACCGCCGGAGUCCACCCGUAAUGAAGUCGCUGCGUGGAAGGACACGCGUGCGCCUCAAGCUUCGCCUUCUCAGCGCCUGAGAAGCCAAGAAUUAUAUGAAGAGCCAGCUCUCUUGAGAAAGGUCUAAAGCUGGAAAAGCUGAAAUGAAAGAGAAAAAGAGGACCAGAACAGCAGCAAAGUGGAUAGAUUCAGCUACACUGGGGAUAAGUGCACACCUGGAAGAUUUGAAAUAACAGAUUAAGGAUGGAUCAUCAUGGAGAAAAUCCAUUUAUAUUAUUGUUAUGAUUUGACAAUGACUUGAUGGUAUAUAAUCAAUAAUCAAUCAUUCCUUCUUAAGCCACAUUUUUUUCAGAGGAAUGACUAAGGCUUUUGUUCUUUGUUGGGUACAUGGAGACUUAUUCCACAUGGCACAUUAGUUCUAUUGUUAGAGCUGCCUCUUAUCUAAGAAGAGUGUUUAUCUGUCCAAGAGAAUGCAUAUUUUAAAUUCACACUCACUGCCUAUGGGCUGGGUACUGGCUAUAAAUAUCCUAAGUGCAUUUUUCCAGUCAGUAUUUCCAACAAUAUUUCUUAGAGAUGAGCAAGCUCUGGAAAUUUCCAUAGAAAUAUAAUAAAAAUGUGAUUAUAUCCUGUUCAGUGCCGAUUGUAAAACACCCAGUAUGGCCAUUGACUUGUCAAGAUACAACUAGGAAAUAUAGCAGAGUUACCAAAGCAAACAACUGAUUCCUCCCGCCCCACAAAUACUUGUGUUAUCACCAUGUGUUGCAAUUUUGCAACUUCUCUUAUCUCUCUAUUACAAAGCAUCAUGGUUAUAGCAGGACACACUGCCCUCCCUGUGUGCAAUUUUUUUUUACAAUGAAUCUUAAAGCAACUAAGCUAUGUUGGUGCAAAUUACCUUCAAUGAUACAUACUAUCACAUGGAUUUAGUAUAUACUCAUAAACUUUACAGGACAAGGUAAUCAGACAGCCCAGCUUUUGAAAAGACAUUUUAAGCAAACUCCCAAAUCAGAAACAUUUUCCAGAUUUCAUGAUCCCCAGCUGGCUGGUAGUAAUAACAUUAGCACACUCAAACAAGUCAUAAUAUGGAUCAUAAUUCAUUGUAUAUAGGAACAGUAUUUGGGAUUAAAGGUAAAGGUUUCUCCAUAUCAUGAUCAGAAUCUAGAUUAUUGUAUAGAAAUCCCAACACCUUAGUAUUUUUUACCAUUUUCCCAGGAUAUUUACAGGAUUACUUUUCUCCAAUGGGGUUGAUUUGACUUAGCUAGGAUACUUUUAGGGAAAAAAAUACUUAUAGUAUCAUAUUACUGAAAGGUUCAGAGGAAUUAUAACUACUUCCCAAUUUAGGUAGCGCUAACCCCUCUCCUUCUGUUUUUUAGAUAUAUGUUAAAAAGUGAAUUAUCUUGGAGGGCUUUUCUUAUGUUUCUAACUGAUGUCAUCUUGUUCUUUUUCCUUAUUUUUCACUGAAAUUAUACUUACCUUUCUUGUUAUGUAGUGUUUAUUUGUUUUUGUUUUUGAUUCUUUUGAAAAUGUUCCUACUCUAUUAUUGUUACAAUUGGAUAAAUUUUUAUUUUUGAUAGAUUGUGUAAAUUGCAGCAAAGUAGAUAUAUAUUUAAUCAAUAAAAUAAUGAAGCAGUAUUUCAAUCUGGAAAUAGCAAAUCAGUGCAAAUUGAUGUGAUGUUUCCUUCUAUUGAUCAUGGCUUGAUAUAACUUUGGAAUCUUAGGAUACAAUUUAUAUAAAAUUAUAUUAAACAGAUAACCAAUUUUCUGAUGGUCUUUUUUCAGCAAAUUUAUAAGCUGUGAUGACCUACUUAUGAAUGUUAAACUCAUAAAAGAUAUAUCAGUUCCCUAGCAUAACGCAACACAGCUACAGUAUAUCCAUGAGUGUGAGAGAAUAUAAUUGGAAUAAAUUGCCAAUUCUUACGUUA